rnacentral:rRNA from 1 species
CAUGUAGGCGGAUUGAUAAGUUUGAAGUGAAAUCCUAUAGCUUAACUAUAGAACUGCUUUGAAAACUGUUAAUCUAGAAUGUGGGAGAGGUAGAUGGAAUUUCUGGUGUAGGGUAAAACCCGUAGAGAUCAGAAGGAAUACCGAUUGCGAAGGCGAUCUACUGGAACAUUAUUGACGCUGAGAUGCGAAAGCGUGGGGAGCAAACA